AACGAACGCUGGCGGCAUGCCUAACACAUGCAAGUCGAACGAAGCCUUCGGGCUUAGUGGCGCACGGGUGCGUAACGCGUGGGAAUCUGCCCUUUGGUUCGGAAUAACAGUUGGAAACGACUGCUAAUACCGGAUGAUGACGAAAGUCCAAAGAUUUAUCGCCAGAGGAUGAGCCCGCGUAGGAUUAGCUAGUUGGUGUGGUAAAGGCGCACCAAGGCGACGAUCCUUAGCUGGUCUGAGAGGAUGAUCAGCCACACUGGGACUGAGACACGGCCCAGACUCCUACGGGAGGCAGCAGUGGGGAAUAUUGGACAAUGGGCGAAAGCCUGAUCCAGCAAUGCCGCGUGAGUGAUGAAGGCCCUAGGGUUGUAAAGCUCUUUUACCCGGGAUGAUAAUGACAGUACCGGGAGAAUAAGCCCCGGCUAACUCCGUGCCAGCAGCCGCCGUAA
rnacentral:rRNA from 1 species